rnacentral:lncRNA from 1 species
CUCGGAUUGCAUGCGGAGGCUGCGUGCUUGGAUUCAGGGCUCACAGCUGAGCGCGGCUGGGGGGCGGGGCCUGGUUGGAAGGGGCGGGGUGCUGGGAGCGGGGGCGGGGCCUGGAAUGAUUGACGGCGCCCUGGCUCCCCCCGCCCCCCUCUGCUUCCUGCGGCCAGGCUGGGAGCCGCUCUGCCCGCCGGGGUUGACCGCGGGUGGAAGCCAUGAGCCGACACAGCCCUCUGCUCCUUUAGGCUGCGGCGUCGGCUGUGUCCAAGGUGGCGGAGCGGGGAACAGUGGGGUGCACUCAGGAAGAGGCGGAGCCGAAGAGCUGUUGUGAAGGAGAGGAAGAGGCAGCAGGGAGGGGGCGCCCCUCGCAGGUUGUGUGCGUCCCUGGAUACAGCCACACCUGACGCCGCACGCACUUCUGCACACCCAGUGGAGACACUCCCGUUUCUGUUCAUUCUAGCUUAAGCUGGGAUUCUGUUCUGUAUAACAGGAACAUCCUGAUGAGCCC